GACGAACGCUGGCGGCGUGCCUAAUACAUGCAAGUAGAACGCUGAAGAGAGGAGCUUGCUCUUCUUGGAUGAGUUGCGAACGGGUGAGUAACGCGUAGGUAACCUGCCUUGUAGCGGGGGAUAACUAUUGGAAACGAUAGCUAAUACCGCAUAACAAUGGAUGACACAUGUCAUUUAUUUGAAAGGGGCAAUUGCUCCACUACAAGAUGGACCUGCGUUGUAUUAGCUAGUAGGUGAGGUAAUGGCUCACCUAGGCGACGAUACAUAGCCGGCCUGAGAGGGUGAUCGGCCACACUGGGACUGGGACACGGCCCAGACUCCUCCGGGAGGCAGCAGUAGGGAAUCUUCGGCAAUGGGGGCAACCCUGACCGAGCAACGCCGCGUGAGUGAAGAAGGUUUUCGGAUCGUAAAGCUCUGUUGUAAGUCAAGAACGGGUGUGAGAGUGGAAAGUUCACACUGUGACGGUAGCUUACCAGAAAGGGACGGCUAACUACGUG
rnacentral:rRNA from 1 species